rnacentral:rRNA from 1 species
GUGCCAGCAGCCGCGGUAAUACAGGGGGCUCGAGCGUUAGUCGGAAUCACUGGGCUUAAAGGGUGCGUAGGCGGCCCGCCAAGUGCUUUGUGAAAUCCCCGGGCUCAACCCGGGAACAGCAGGGCAAACUGGCGGGCUUGAAGCAGGUAGGGGCUGGAAGAACAGUUGGUGGAGCGGUGAAAUGCGUAGAUAUCAACUGGAAUGCCGAUGGGGAAGCCGUCCAGCUGGGCCUGUCUUGACGCUGAGGCACGAAAGCGUGGGGAGCAAACAGGAUUAGAAACCCGCGUAGUCC